rnacentral:rRNA from 1 species
GAUGAACGCUGGCGGCGUGCCUAAUACAUGCAAGUCGAGCGAACGGACGAGAAGCUUGCUUCUCUGAUGUUAGCGGCGGACGGGUGAGUAACACGUGGAUAACCUACCUAUAAGACUGGGAUAACUUCGGAAAACCGGAGCUAAUACCGGAUAAUAUUUUGAACCGCAUGGUUCAAAAGUGAAAGACGGUCUUGCUGUCACUUAUAGAUGGAUCCGCGCUGCAUUAGCUAGUUGGUAAGGUAACAGCUUACCAAGGCAACGAUGCAUAGCCGACCUGAGAGGGUGAUCGGCCACACUGGAACUGAGACACGGUCCAGACUCCUACGGGAGGCAGCAGUAGGGAAUCUUCCGCAAUGGGCGAAAGCCUGACGGAGCAACGCCGCGUGAGUGAUGAAGGUCUUCGGAUCGUAAAACUCUGUUAUUAGGGAAGAACAUAUGUGUAAGUAACUGUGCACAUCUUGACGGUACCUAAUCAGAAAGCCACGGCUAACUACGUG